AAAGUAAAAGCGCCAGAACUUAUAUAAUAAGAUAAAGUAUAAGUUGACGAGGACUAGAGUGAUCGAAGAUUCGGCGGAUGCUCUAGAGGGCUCACACCCUAAAUAAGCAAACAAAACUAAAAAGUAAUUUUUAGGACAAAGUGCUUAUC
rnacentral:ncRNA from 1 species